rnacentral:rRNA from 1 species
AAGUCAGGCAACGAGCGAGACCCACGUCCACAGUUGCCAGCAUACCCUCCGGGGUGAUGGGUACACUGUGGAGACCGCCGCUGCUAAAGCGGAGGAAGGAGUGGGCAACGGUAGGUCAGUAUGCCCCGAAUCUCCCGGGGCUACACGCGGGCUACAAUGGUUGGUACAAUGGGCAUCUACCCCGAAAGGGGAAGGAAUCUCUUAAAGCCAAUCGUAGUUCGGAUUGAGGGCUGCAACUCGCCCUCAUGAAGCUGGAAUCCGUAGUAAUCGCGUUUCAACAGAACGCGGUGAAUACGUCCCUGCUCCUU